UCGCCUGUUUUAUCAAAAACAUCGCCUCUUGAUUAAAUAUAAGAGGUCCCGCCUGCCCCGUGAUUUAUUUAACGGCCGCGGUAUUUUGACCGUGCAAAGGUAGCAUAAUCAAUUGUCCUUUAAUUAAGGACCAGUAUGAAAGGCACCACGAAGGCUUAACUGUCUCCCCCCUCUAAUCAAUGAAACUGAUCUUCCCGUGAAGAAGCGGGAAUAAUUAUAUAAGACGAGAAGACCCCAUGGAGCUUCAAACUAAUUAUCAUCUACUUUAAAAAUAUCUAACAAAAUAGUAGAAAUGCUCUUAAUAGUUUUCGGUUGGGGCGACCCCGGAGUAAAAUGAAACCUCCAGGAUGAACGGACAAGAUCCUAAUUAGAGAAUUACUAUUCAACAACUCAAAAAUUUGACAUUAUUGACCCAGUUAUAAAUUAACUGAUCAACGAACCAAGUUACCCUGGGGAUAACAGCGCAAUCCAUUUCAAGAGCCCCUAUCGACAAAUGGGUUUACGACCUCGAUGUUGGAUCGGGGUAUCCUAGCAACGCAGCCGCUGCUUAAGGUUCGUUUGUUCAACGAUUAAAACCCCACAUGAUCUGAGUUCAAACCGGA
rnacentral:rRNA from 1 species